rnacentral:misc_RNA from 1 species
GGGAGCGGGCUUGCUCGCGAAGAGGCCCUUAGGCUCGACAUCAAUGUCGAACGUGAUGCCGCCUUCGCGAGCAAGCCCGCUCCC